UUAAAACUCUGUAUGCAUCAGCCCUGUUAUCUUUGCAGCACCCUGAGACAAUGAACUUUCUUAUAGAGACCAUUUUGUUUUCCUUUAUGCAGUUAGUUUCACUGCCUGGGAGUUGGGGACAUGACAAUGGCACUGAGAUUGGGAAUUUAAAUCCUAGAAGAGGCUUUAAUGACUGGGAGAUGGAAGAAGUAGGGCAAUUACUCCAAUUACUUGGCACUAUAGUGUUGGAGGAAGACUAGGAGGAUCUUAUGGUUUGGACAGCAAGCAAUGAUCUUGAUAUUCUGGCAAAGCUGUUAUAAUCUUCUCCAGGAACAAAAUGAUUAGUAUGAAUCUAAUUGGCCAUGAAAAAUGGUAUGGAGAACCAAAGCACCUACCAGAGUGGAGAAGCCAAUUUAACUCAAGAUAAUUUACAAAAAAAGGAAUUCUGGCUGUAACAAAUGCUACUUAUGUGAAGAAGGGUUGGAAACUGUUAAUCAUCUAUUUAUCCAUUGUAAAAUUGC
rnacentral:lncRNA from 1 species